rnacentral:rRNA from 1 species
GACAGAGGCCUCAAGCGUUAGGUGGAAUCACUGGGCUUAAAGCGUGUGUAGGCGGAUGCCUAAGUACCUUGUGAAAUCCCACGGCUCAACCGUGGAACUGCUGGGUAUACUGGGCGUCUUGGGCCAUUCAGGGGCGACUGGAACAAGCGGUGGAGCGGUGAAAUGCGUAGAUAUCGCUUGGAACGCCGAAGGUGAAAACAGGUCGCUGGGGAUGUGCCGACGCUGAGACACGAAAGCCAGGGGAGCAAACGGG